ACAAGCUUCUUCUUGUGGACAUAGAUUUGAUGCGAGUAAGCUCAAUUUCUCUUUGAGAAAGACAUCCAAAUUAUUGUCUUUUAAAACCAAUGGCGGUCCUUACAAAAAAACCGCCGUUUAAAUUGUAAAAUCAACGUCGGUAUGACUGACGUAUAUUACAGAAAUCCACGUCGGUACAUUAAUAAAAACGACGUGUUAAAUAAUCUACCAUGACGCAAGUUAUUACUUAUGUACUUUAAUUUUUGAGUUUACUACGACGGUACCUACAACUCUACUGUCGUAUUUAUUUACCACGUCCGAAGUUAAAUGUACCAUCUUAUUUUGUAAUUUAUACGUCGUAGUUAUAUGUGAC
rnacentral:lncRNA from 1 species